UCUCUCCGCAUUCGAUUAGAGUUUGAUCCUGGCUCAGGAUGUAUCCUCGCGGCGUGCCUAACACAUGCAAGUCGAGCGAUUUACUUCGGUAAAGAGCGGCGGACGGGUGAGUAACGCGUGGGUAACCUGCCCUGUACACACGGAUAACAUACCGAAAGGUAUGCUAAUACGAGAUAAUAUGCUUUUAUCGCAUCGUAGAAGUAUCAAAGCUCCGGCGGUACAGGAUGGACCCGCGUCUGAUUAGCUAGUUGGUAAGGUAACGGCUUACCAAGGCGACGAUCAGUAGCCGACCUGAGAGGGUGAUCGGCCACAUUGGAACUGAGACACGGUCCAAACUCCUACGGGAGGCAGCAGUGGGGAAUAUUGCACAAUGGGCGAAAGCCUGAUGCAGCAACGCCGCGUGAGCGAUGAAGGCCUUCGGGGUCGUAAAGCUCUGUCCUCAAGGAAGAUAAUGACGGUACUUUGAGGGAGGAAGUCCCGGCUAACUACGUGCCAGCAGCCGCGGGUAAUACGUAGGGGGCUAGCGUUAUCCGGGAAUUACUGGGCGUAAAGGGUGGCGUAGGUGGUUCUUAAGUCAGAGGUGAAAGGCGUACGGGCUCAACCGUAGUAAGCCUUUGGAAACUGGGGAAACCUGGAUUGCAGGAGAGGAGAGUGAAUUUCCUAGUGGUAGCCGGUUGAAUGCGUAAAAUUUAAGGAGGAACACACAGGUUGGGCGA
rnacentral:rRNA from 1 species